AGGUCUGCAUGUCUCAGCCCUGUGCUCAGGAAGCUGGCAGUCAGGAAGAUUCACCCUCAUGAAUCAAACAUUCCAAGGCCACAAAUGAAGUGAACAGAGGACCCUCUGGAGAGAGGAUGUUCCCUGGUUCUUGGCUCCCAGUGUUAAGAAUGAACACUGGUGCCUAGUGGAUGAUGGAGCGAUCACAAACACAAAGUGACCACCAGCAGCAUACAUUUAUUGCCAAACAAAAGUAUACAAACCACAGUUUUUGGCCAGGGCUGGGUUUGAACCC